GCGCUGAAGUGUAAAAACACUUUGUUUUCCUGCCCCAUUGAAAAUCUUUCGGAAUACUUCUUAUAUAUUAGAUAUAAUAUCCUUAUAGUUGAAUGAAUGUCUGUUUUUCUUUAGAUUUCUGUUUAAAGGUGAAUAACUUCUAACUUAUUUUUAACAAUCAGUGUUACGAUAGUCGUUUACACACAUUAUAAAUAUAUAUCUAUACGGUU